GUGUCAGCAGCCGCGGUAAGACAGAGGCCCCGAGCGUUAAUCGGAAUUACUGGGCUUAAAGGGUGCGUAGGCUGAUCCGAAAGUGCUCCGUGAAAUCCCCCGGCUCAACCGGGGAACAGCGAGGCAUACUGCGGAUCUUGAGGCAGGUAGGCGCCGAGGGAACAGUAGGUGGAGCGGUGAAAUGCGUAGAUAUCUACUGGAACGCCGAUGGUGAAGACGCUCGGCUGGGCCUGUCCUGACGCUGAGGCACGAAAGCGUGGGGAGCAAACAGGAUUAGAUACCCCCGUAGUCC
rnacentral:rRNA from 1 species